rnacentral:rRNA from 1 species
AGAGGAUUAGAUCUGGUAGUCCACGCCGUAAACGAUGAUCACUAGUAAUGUGGGGUUUCGACCCCUUGCUUUACGAAGCUAACGCGUUAAGUGAUCCGCCUGGGGAGUACGAACGCAAGUUUAAAACUCAAAGGAAUUGACGGGGACCCGCACAAGCGGUGGAGGAUGUGGUUUAAUCCGACGCAACGCGCAGAACCUUACCGAGGUUUGACAUCCCAGGAAGGCCGCCGAAAGGUGGCUGUUCCUUCGGGAACCUGGUGACAGAUGCUGCAUGGCCGUCGUCAGCUCGUGUUG